AUUGAACGCUGGCGGCAGGCCUAACACAUGCAAGUCGAGCGAGCGGCGGACGGGUGAGUAAUGUCUGGGAAACUGCUUGAUGUAGGGGGAUAACUUCUGGAAACGGUAGCUAUUACCGCAUACCAUCAGAUGUGCCCAGAUGGGAUUAGCUAGACGGUGGGGUAACGGCUCACCUAGGUGACGAGCCCUAGCUGGUCUGAGAGGAUGACCAGCCACACUGGAAAUGAGACACGGUCCAGACGCCUACGGGAGGCAGCAGUGGGGAAUAUUGCACAAUGGGGGCAAGCCUGAUGCAGCCAUGCCGCGUGUGUGAAGAAGGCCUUCGGGUUGUAAAGCACUUUCAGCGGGGAGGCGUUACCCGCAGAAGAAGCACCGGCUAACUCCGUGCCAGCAGACGCGGUAAUAC
rnacentral:rRNA from 1 species